CUGCUUUAGUCUCCAGAGUAGCUGGGAUUACAGGAUGAAGCUGAAAUAUUUUAGUCUGGCAUUCCAGAUCCUUCACAUCUUGGCCUCAGCCUACCUAGACAUCUUGACUUCCCUCUGUUCACCGUCACUGAUACUUGGCCAAAUCAACUCUUCUAUCCACAGGAAUGGCAUGCUCCAUGUAAGCUGAAUUCUCCCUUGGAAUCCCUUUUGGGGCUGCAAAAUAUCCAGAUAUCGGCUGGGAUUAAAGUCAUCUGGAGACUGGACUAAAUAUCAAUACACAUUUUAAAGUGAAUUAAAUUAAAAGAGACAUCAACAUCAUGUACAGUGUCAACGUGGGACUCCUCUAUCCUCAGUUUGGACUGUGGCACUAAUACAACAGGUCCUAAGACAAGAAGUCAUUUACCCUCUUGUGCUGAUGAAGAAGUCACAAGAGCAAACCUCACAGGACUCUGCCUCUGGAAAAGGGGGGAAAUUCUUAUAAUAUAUUUUGAACAUCUCCUGUGCACUUGGAAUUAUUCUGUAUGCUGAGAACACAGAGAUAAAGAACCCAGUUCCUGUUCCAUUGACUGGAGGAGGUGAGAACUAAAUGAGUGCUACAUAACAUAAAGAGCCCUCUACAGAGGGAAGCCCAGGAAAGGAGAUCUGGGAAACCGCUCUGAAGGGGAUGGCAUUGGCCUUGAGUCACCAACAACUAGGAGAAUCUGGUUAGGCAGUUAACAAUGUGAUUCCACACAGCAGGCAACAAACCUCAAAGUCAUGGUAUGAGGCAGCUUAAGGGGAUAUUCAGCUAAAGACAUAGUCAACUCAGUAACUUUCUCCUAAGGUUUUGAGAUAUCAGAUUUUUCUGAUCUGGAACACUCUGUAUCAAAAGUUGAAGUUCAGGUAUCAACGUUGACCUUGUGGAUCUGAAGCUAUCACCUAUGGAUUUUCUUUAUCUUUGGCUUGAACCAAUGGUCUUUCACAAUAGCCGUUGUCCAGUUUGUUUGA